GAGUGAAACUCAAAGGAAGUGACGGGGACCCGCACAAGUAGCGGAGCAUGUGGUUUAAUUCGAAGCAACGCGAAGAACCUUACCUAAGCUUGACAUCCCAAUGACAUCUCCUUAAUCGGAGAGUUCCCUUCGGGGACAUUGGUGACCGGUGGUGCAUGGUUGUCGUCAGCUCGUGUCGUGAGAUGUUGGGUUAAGUCCCGCAACGAGCGCAACCCUUGUCUUUAGUUGCCAUCAUUAAGUUGGGCACUCUAGAGAGACUGCCAGGGAUAACCUGGAGGAAGGUGGGGAUGACGUCAAAUCAUCAUGCC
rnacentral:rRNA from 1 species